ensembl:snRNA U6 U6 spliceosomal RNA
GUGCUUGCUUCAGCAGCACAUAUGCCAAAAUUGGAACAAUACAGAGAAAAUUAGCAUGCCCCUGUGCAAGAAUGACAUGCAAAUUUGUAAAGCAUUGCAUAUUUUA